rnacentral:rRNA from 1 species
AGAUUGAACGCUGGCGGCAUGCCUAACACAUGCAAGUCGAACGGGAGUAGCAAUACUCUAGUGGCGGACGGGUGAGGAAUACGUAGGAAUUUGCCCUUAAGUGGGGGAUAACCCGGGGAAACCCGGAUUAAUACCGCAUGACCUCGAAAGAGCAAAGUGGGGGAUCGCAAGACCGUCACGCUUUUGGAGAAGCCUACGUCGGAUUAGCUAGUUGGUGAGGUAAUGGCUCACCAAGGCGACGAUCCGUAACUGGUCUGAGAGGAUGAUCAGUCACACCGGAACUGAGACACGGUCCGACUCCUACGGGAGCAGCCGUGGGGAACUAGUUGGACAAGUGGGCGCAAGCCUGAUCCAGGCAAUCGCCGCGUAGUGUGAAGAAGGCCUUACGGGUUGUAAA